rnacentral:lncRNA from 1 species
GACUGUUUAGGCGUGUUCAUGCGGACGAUGUUUAUGAUUUAUAGUAGAGUUUAGAUGGUUUAGGCGUGUUGAAGACUGUCGGACGAUGGUGGUGAUAGUUUGUGUUUAGAGAGAGAAAAUCGUGUAAAGAGAGAUGGUUGAAGCUUUGAUGGUUUAGGGAGGUGGUAGAUAUGCACUCAAGUACUCAAUGGUUUACAACAUGGUUGAUUUGUUGAGCGGUUGGAGUCCUUUCUAGCUAGCCACGGGUUUAGAUACAAUCGUUGCUGCAAGAGUGGUUGUCC